rnacentral:rRNA from 1 species
CAAGCGGUGGAUGAUGUGGAUUAAUUCGAUGCAACGCGAAGAACCUUACCUACCCUUGACAUGUCCGGAACUUGCCAGAGAUGGCUUGGUGCCCGAAAGGGAAUCGGAACACAGGUGCUGCAUGGCUGUCGUCAGCUCGUGUCGUGAGAUGUUCGGUUAAGUCCGCUAACGAGCGCAACCCUCGCUGUGUGUUAUAUGUGUCACACGGGACUGCCGGUCUUAAGCCGGAGGAAGGUGGGGAUGAUGUCAAGUCAGCAUGGCCUUUAUAUCCUGGGCUACACACACGCUACAAUGGCCAACACAAUAGGUUGCUAAGCCGCGAGGUGGCGCCAAUCCAUAAAGUUGGUCUCAGUUCAGAUUGUAGGCUGCAACCCGCCUGCAUGAAGAUGGAGUCGCUAGUAACCGCAGGUCAGCUAUACUGCGGUGAAUACGUUCCCGGGGCUU